ACUUAGGUUAGAUGCUUCAAAACUUCCAGAGUGGUCUCCUGUGUAACUAAAGCACAGCUUCCUUUCCUGCCUUCCACUCUUCUGGGAACAAAAGAACCUCAAACCUGAGCUCAUAUCUUGUGCUUUCAAGAGGCACCGACUCACUUUGAGAAUUAAAAGUGGUCUCCUGUGUAACUAAAGCACAGCUUCCUUUCCUGCCUUCCACUCUUCUGGGAACAAAAGAACCUCAAACCUGAGCUCAUAUCUUGUGCUUUCAAGAGGCACCGACUCACUUUGAGAAUUAAAAGUGGUCUCCUGUGUAACUAAAGCACAGCUUCCUUUCCUGCCUUCCACUCUUCUGGGAACAAAAGAACCUCAAACCUGAGCUCAUAUCUUGUGCUUUCAAGAGGCACCGACUCACUUUGAGAAUU